rnacentral:rRNA from 1 species
GAUGAACGCUGGCGGCGUGCCUAAUACAUGCAAGUCGAGCGAACAGACGAGGAGCUUGCUCCUCUGACGUUAGCGGCGGACGGGUGAGUAACACGUGGAUAACCUACCUAUAAGACUGGGAUAACUUCGGGAAACCGGAGCUAAUACCGGAUAAUAUAUUGAACCGCAUGGUUCAAUAGUGAAAGACGGUUUUGCUGUCACUUAUAGAUGGAUCCGCGCCGCAUUAGCUAGUUGGUAAGGUAACGGCUUACCAAGGCAACGAUGCGUAGCCGACCUGAGAGGGUGAUCGGCCACACUGGAACUGAGACACGGUCCAGACUCCUACGGGAGGCAGCAGUAGGGAAUCGUCCGCAAUGGGCGAAAGCCUGACGGAGCAACGCCGCGUGAGUGAUGAAGGUCUUCGGAUCGUAAAACUCUGUUAUUAGGGAAGAACAAAUGUGUAAGUAACUAUGCACGUCUUGACGGUACCUAAUCAGAAAGCCACGGCUAACUACGU